rnacentral:rRNA from 1 species
AGUAACACGUAAAGAACCUACCUUAUAGACAGGGACAACUAUUGGAAACGAUAGCUAAUACCUGAUAAGAAAGAAACUCGCAUGAGAGAAGUUCGAAAGUCGGAGCAAUCUGACACUAUAAGAUGGCUUUGCGGUGCAUUAGCUAGUUGGUAGGGUAAAAGCCUACCAAGGCGACGAUGCAUAGCCGACCUGAGAGGGUGAUCGGCCACAUUGGGACUGAGACACGGCCCAAACUCCUACGGGAGGCAGCAGCC